rnacentral:lncRNA from 1 species
UAGGUAAAUUGGGGAAUUUAAUCCACAGGGGAAUUUCUGUUGGGAAAGCAUCUUUAAAAUCAAGAUCAACCGACCAUUGUUUCAAAAUCAUAGGCCUAUUAGCAAUUGAAUAUGGUCCUCCACACAGUACUUCUUUAGCAUCUUCAAGGGACUGAAAUUUAGCUAUAUAGUAGCUCUCAUCAUGGUAAAACAAUUCUGGCUCAGGCACAUGAGACCAGUGUAUGCUAAUAAAUCUAUUCAUAGCAUUGUACCCUGGUCCAUUGCCUAGAACAAAAAUAACUAGGGCACAUUUCCAUUUUCCUUCUUCCUCCUCCACCUCUUCCUUCACCAGCUGCAGCCUUUGGUACAUCAGUUGGUGGUGGUUGUUGCAUGUGGUCCUUACCCCUUUUCUCAGGUUCCAUCGGGACAAUCACUGGACUAACUUGAGGUUCUGAGUUGUUAUCAACCCUCUCAGUUGGUGUUGGUAGCACGGGAACUUCAGAUGGUUAUGGAUCUACUGUUGCAUGAGGCAAUGAAACAGUUUCUUCAGUAGAUUUUAAUGGAACAGUGCUGACUGCCUGUGGAACAGUGUUAACAGAUUUUGGGAAAACAGUGUCGCUUGCAUAAAUUGACACCAGAACUUUCUUAGGUCGGCCUCUCCCUCUCGCCAUUGCACCCUCAGCGCAGGUUAACCUACAUACGCAGAGGCAGCAGAGAUAAUUUGUUAGUUGUUUGGAUUGGGUAUUGUUCCAAUUUAUUGAAAAUAUCAAAUUAGUUCAAAAUUUAAAUUUGAAGUGAUUUGGAGUAGAUUUAAGUUAAAUUUCAGAAAAGACGCAAUGAAGAAGACAAAGUCAGUUUUUUGUAUAAACAGAGGCAGCAGAGAAGAAGAAGAUAAAGAGUUGAACGGAAAAGUUAGAGAGAAGGCAGAGCUUCUCUCUCUAGGUUCUC